CCAUGGGAAGCAGGGCAGCGUGGCCUGACAGCCAGUGUCUAUAGAGGUGGUGCACCCACCAAGAGGUGAGGCAGCCCCAGUAGGGGGCCCCAACCCAGGGCCCUAACAGUGGCGUAGCAACUUGCCACUGACUCAGCAGGGG